CUUGGUCAUUUAGAGGAAGUAAAAGUCGUAACAAGGUUUCCGUAGGUGAACCUGCGGAAGGAUCAUUAACAAAUUCUACAAACAUACAAUACACGUGUUGAUGCUGUGCACACACACACGCACACACACUGCACGCUUUCAUGAGAGAGAGAUCUCAUGGUGGUGGUGGGUGGUGGGUGUGUGUGUGCAUGGUGUCGUUCAAGACACACAACAACAACAAUGACCUUUUGACACAGUAUGGAUGAGACAGUAGUAAUGAGAAAGAAAGAGAAACAACUUUUAACAAUGGAUCUCUUGGCUCUUGCAACGAUGAAGAACGCAGCAAACUGCGAAACGUCAUGUGACCUGCACUCUUCGAGAAACAUCCAAUCUUUGAACGCACUUUGCACCGUGUGGCUUUUGUCACACGGUAUACUUGUUUGAGCAUCUGAAACACCUUGCCACAUCCUUUGGGGAGACAUGAGGAGAAGAAGGCAGACAUGAGAUUCGACGGACGAAAGUGCAAGUCGUUUCUUGAAAUGGGCGUGAUCGGUGCGUGUGCGGGCACACUGGGAGAGAGAGUGUGUGAGCGUGCGUGGUGUGAGGCGUGUGCGCGCAUAUGCAGCGGCAUGAACCAACUAUUGGGAUAACAUCCUAACAAUCGUUUGUGAGUGAGCGUGGUGUGUGUGUGAGUGAGCGUGCAUGUGAAGACACAAGAUCGCGAAAGGACAAGGAAACCCGACAAGGGUUUGUCUUGUGCACGACGACGGAGAGCGAGCGAGUGAGAGGGUGAAAGCUUGCUUGCUUGCUCAGACGACGACGACCAAGAUCUCAAAUCAAGCAAGGAGACCCGCUGAACUUAAGCAUAUCAAUAAGCGGAGG
rnacentral:rRNA from 1 species